CAGACGCUGAAGACUACAACUUAUUCAUCGCCAAGAAGACUGGUAUGCGAUUACCAGUAAAAAGGUAUAUACGUUUUGUAUGCGCAACAACAACAUUUGUUCCGGACAGGCAUCGAAGACCACAACUUAUCCAUUGCCAAGAAGACUUACAUGCGAUUACCAAUGUCAAGAUACGUUUGGUAUGCGAUUAACACGAACGAAGAGUUUCGCGGAAUCGAAGUGAAGAACCGAUUAUGCAAAAUGAAG